rnacentral:rRNA from 1 species
GACGAACGUUGGCGGCGUGCCUAAUACAUGCAAGUAGAACGCUGAAGGAGGAGCUUGCUUCUCUGGAUGAUUUGCGAACGGGUGAGUAACGCGUAGGUAACCUGCCUGUUAGCGGGGGAUAACUAUUGGAAACGAUAGCUAAUACCGCAUAAUAGCAGUUGUUGCAUGACAACUGUUUGAAAGGUGCAAUUGCACCACUACCAGAUGGACCUGCGUUGUAUUAGCUAGUUGGUGGGGUAACGGCUCACCAAGGCGACGAUACAUAGCCGACCUGAGAGGGGGGUCGGCCAAAAUGGGAAUGGGGACAGGCCCAGAACCCUACGGGAGGGAGCAGUAGGGAAUCUUCGGCAAUGGACGGAAGUCUGAACGAGCAAAGCCGGGUGAGUGAAGGAGGUUUUCGGAUCGUAAAGCUCUGUUGUAAGAGAAGAAAGAGUGUGAGAGUGGAAAGUUCACACUGUGACGGUAUCUUACCAGAAAGGGACGGCUAACUACGUG